AUAACUGUGGUAAUUCUAGAGCUAAUNCAUGCGUCGAAGCGCUGACUCCCCGAGAAGGCGUGCUUUUAUUAGGAACAAGACCAGCCCGGUUUCGGGCCGGNCCACUGGUGAACUCUGGAUAACACAGCCGAUCGCACGGUCCUCGCACCGGCGACGGAUCCUUCGAAUGUCUGCCCUAUCAACUUUCGAUGGUACGUUAUGCGCCUACCAUGGUCGUCACGGGUAACGGAGAAUCAGGGUUCGAUUCCGGAGGAGGGAGCCUGAGAAACGGCUACCACAUCCAAGGAAGGCAGCAGGCGCGCAAAUUACCCACUCCCGACACGGGGAGGUAGUGACGAAAAAUAACAAUACAGGACUCUUUCGAGGCCCUGUAAUUGGAAUGAGUACACUUUAAAUCCUUUAANGAGGANCC
rnacentral:rRNA from 1 species